rnacentral:lncRNA from 1 species
UGCAUAAAAUCUAAAUCAUUCAAGUGUUAAAAAUUACUCCUGUCUGUAAAGCAUGUACCUGUGUGACUCCUCAUGACUCAGGAAGGCUCCCACCACUGCAGAUCACAAGGGCUAAAGGGCCAAAGCGGGGCUGGGGGUCUUCCCAAGUGGGCAAGGCCAGAAGCGGUCUAAGAAGGUAUCAUCACAUAGGGAUGAGAGAAGGAGGGGAGGCUGUGGCGAGGGAAGAGGGAGGAAGAAGGUGCAGAGAGGGAAGGAAAGAGACUGGGUAGUUAAAAGAGGGCAGGGGAAGGGCAGAGAGGAUAAAGUUGAGAGGGGAAAGGAGGGAAGGGAACAAGGAAAGCGAGGCAAGGAGAGGGAGUUGGGGAAGGGGUAACAUGAUGGGAACUGUGGGGGCUCCAUGGCGGAAGGGGUGUGACCAUGUUGGUGGGCGGCCCAUUCAGGUCACACUUUUGCUGGGUCAGCUUCCAGGGAGGCCAUCCAUGGUGCGGGACUAAGAAGUGGGGCUUAGGCUAGGUUCCAGAAGUGGGAGGAAGGUGGCUGCAUCAGGAGAGGGGCUAUGACAGAAGGCCGUGGCUCAUCACCUACGCUGACCUGAGUAGGCCCGCCCCGCCCCAUGGCCUUGCCCCUUCCGCCAUUGUGAUCUCAUUUCCUGUGCCUUGUACUGUGAUGGCUCACGGGCCAGGACCCAAGGCAGAGGUGCUGGGUCCUCAUAAGCACCAGAAUCAUUUCCCUAAAGUGAUGUCAUUGGAAAAGUAUGAGGAAGGAUUAGGGAGAAGGUGGCCUUCUCAGUCAGGGCCAGUGCUGGUGUGAGAGGUUCAAGGACAAAGGUAAAGUGUUCCUCACCUCCAAGAUGAACUUUCCUCCCAUGGUGGGAGUCGAAUAUUUCAGG